UGGAAUGCUCACUUCAGCAGCACUAAAAUUGAAAUGAUACAGAAGAUUGUCUUGGCCCCUGAGCACAGAAGACACACAAAUACAUGACGUGUUCCAUAUUUUU